GAAGCUUGAACAAAUAGUUUACUUUUUCUCAUGUCUUUGAUUAGUUUCAUCCUAUCUAUGUCUAUUUCUUGUGUGCAAGCACUCCAAUGUGUCUGUGUGACUGUGUGUGACUGACUGUUUGUGUCUGUGUGACUGAUUAUGUGUGUUUCUUUGUCUGUUUCUUGUGUGCAAGCGCUCCAUUGUGUUUGUGCGUGUGUGUUGACUGUGUCUGCGUGUGUGACUGAUUGUGUGUGUGUUUCUUUGUCUGUUUCUUGUGGGCAAGCGCUCCAUUGUGUUUGUGCGUGUGUGUUGACUCUGUCUGUGUGUCAUUUUAUGACUGACUGUGUAUUGAUGUGACUCUGUGUAUGUGUGUGUGUGUGUGUGUGUGUUGACUGUGACUGUGUGUCAUUGUGCAAGCGCUCCAUAACUACUUAUUGGCACCUGAUAAUGCAUGCAAAUUUCUAUAAGGUCAUGGGCAUGUAAUUUUAUGACCUACGUACCUCUGUAGUUGGUAGUAUCAUUGCCCUUUGGACACCCUUCAAUGCAUUGCUGUAUAUUUUCCUGCCACAAGUAUGAUGUUUGUGCUCAGAAUGAUGUAUAUGAUUUCUUAUGGUUCUGAUGGUGUGCUUCUUGUGUUUGAACUGAAGUCGUGGAUCACUCAUCAACCUGGUCUGUGUUUGUAUGGUAACCCCUCUCGAAUUUAACUCCUUUCAAGUUCGUACACAAUAUUUAUGCAUAUCCCACAUUUUAGCUAGUUAUAUAGUAACGCCAUACUUCUUUGGACAUUUUUCUGUAUAUGCAAGUGUGGUGAGCUCACAUAUUGUGUCAGUAUCUACCUACGCAGCUUAAUUAUUUCCGGAUAGGAUAGAGGUGCAAUGUUUACAUCCAUGGCCGAAGGUUCUUUAGCACUGAACUCAUCAAAGGUCCUUGGACUCGAGAGGAAGAUGACAAAAUAAACAAGUAUGGACUAACAAAAUGGUCUGGCUGCAAGGUCACUACCUGGACGUAUAGGCAAGCAAUGUUGGGAGAGGUCAGCAACCAGAACUUCCUGCUGCUGAUCCUGGGAUGCUCCCGAGCAUGUUCAAUUUAUCCGCCCUAGGACAGCCACUGCCAUGACACAGCAGGUUAUUACUCAGCACGCUCGGCGUGUUUACUUCGGUGGACUUCCUCCGAUCGCUAAUGAACAGACAGUUGCUCUAUUCUUCAACCAAGUUAUGGCUGCUAUCGGGGGAAACACAUUUGAUCUAGGUGGCAUAAUCAUCUGAAUCCGAACAUAUGGAACGAUGCUUGUACUACUGAGGAGGAACAUGCACUGGUUAAUGCCAUCAGGUAUAUGGGAAUAAAUGAGCAGAAAUAGCAAAAGUUAUUCCUGGAAGGUACUGCAUGUCAAACAACUUGCAUCAUGGCUCUUGCUUGUAGUAUUAGCUUUCUGUUUGUGCCCUUUCUAUCUCUUGUGUGUGUGACUGACUGUGUGUGACUAUGACUAUGUGUGACUGACUCUGUGUGACUGUUACUCUGUGUGACUGACUCUGUGUGACUGUUACUCUGUGUGACUGUAUGUGUGACUGACUCUGUGUGACUGUUACUGUGUGUGUGUGACUGUGACUGUGACUGUGUGUGACCGACUGUAUGUGUGUGUGUUUGAAUUAAUAUUGCAUUUGCUUGAUGGUGUGUGUGCUGUCUGCUUUGCUUGAUUGUGUGUCCUGUAUGCUUUGCUUGAUGGUGUGUCCUGAAUGCUUUGCUUGAUUGAUUGGUGUUGUAUGUUUUGUUUG